ACAAGGCUUGUCUCUAGGGAUCUAUUUGUCCGAUGAGGCGUCCCCCCAAGGCUGGGCAGAACCUGGUGCUGGUGUGCCUGAGGUGCUCUGACACAGAAUGGUCCAAUCAGGCUCUUGAAGGAUAUAGAUGACUCCCUCCUUCUGAGGUCACCAUGGAAGCAGCAGGGCACCCUCCUAGGAGCCCACUUUCUGCCUCCCUCCCUCUUGUGGUCCUUAGCACCAUCCCCUCCUCACUCCAGCUGGCCAGACGACCCCAGACACCGUGUGCAGGAGUCAGGGCUGUAUAUAGUACACCUGCUUAGCAAUUACAAGUGCACAGAACAGCUCUUGGGUGCAGGCAGGGCUCCCAAGGAAGGGCAACAAUCAUGCUCCCUUGUAAACCCAAAGGGUUCGAACCAUUGUCUCUAUUGGGUAGAUGUAGGAGAUAUUAGUAGAUAUAAAUAGGUACAGAGGGAUCUUUAUAACCAGUGUGUAGGGGGCAAAGACCAACACUGCUACAGGUGCCCACAGACCCACACCCCAGGUGAAGACCAGAAAAUAGCUGGCAUCUUUGCAGCCCAGUGCACCCUUCCCCACCCUCCCAGUACCACUGCCAUGAACCCUGUGCAUCUACAUUUCCUUGUUGUGCUUCAUAGUCUUACAGUGUUUGUAUCCCCAAAAGGUAUUUAAUUUUGCAUAUUUUUGAACUUCACAUAAACAAAAUGACAGAGACUCAUUCUUCUACUCCUUUUUUUCCCUUUUUGCUCCCCUGUAUUCCUGAUGCUCUUCUUUCUCAGUGAAAAUAUUAUAGUGCAUUUGCUUUCGAUGCUGUAUAGCAUCCCAUUGUAUAAACACACCAAGAGCUUAUAUUUCCCUUCUCCCGCCAAUGUACACUUUGGUUGUUUCCAGUUUGAUUCCAGCAGGAUCAGCACGGCUCUGAGCAUCCUUGAACUUACUCACCCAGAAUACAGAUGGGGACAAUCCUGAGUAAAAGGCCUCAGAGGAUCCCCAAAAGCUCUCCAGGAGUUGCCCUUAAACUUUGGUCUCUACAUUUCGCUGAGGAUCAGAUCUGUUGCUGUCGGCGGUGUGACGUGCAAGCUUGAAGCCUCGGCUGGUACACGUGGAGGGUGAGCUGCACCCCAGCAGCACAGCAUUGCGUUUGAUACACGAUCUCAAGAAUGCGGGAUGUUUGAGCGGAAAAGCAAGUUCAAAACAUUGUCAACAAAUUACAUGUAAAAAUGUCUACAUACACUCCAUGAUGCUGCAGAUUGCUUACGGAAGUCUACCUUCUAAACUAGAAAUCACGGCACGGAUGCAUCCCCAGCUCAGGACAGUGGUUUCCUCCGAGGAGAGAUGAAGCAGAAUGGACGAUGUUAUCCGUCUUCUAUUCCAGUAAGACAACUCAAUGUUUAUAAAAAUAUAACUCAUUGAGAGCUCUAUUACCCUUUGUGCUUAUCUGCACAUUUAAGGGUGCAAAAUAAUUAUUUCUAACUUCACAGAUUAUCACGAUAAAAAACAUACUGGCUCCCAAAGGGGAAAAUCAAGCCAGCCACCCAGAUGGCUUUUCCUGGGGCAAAUGUCUCUGGGGCACUUGAUACACAAGGACCUCCACGAUCAACACGCUUCAUAAUCUCAAGAGCAAGUUCUGUUUCUUAGGGCGUCGUCCCUCGGCGCAAACCAAAGGCAUAACCGUACAAACGAAGGAACUAGUGAGACAGACCUGAGGCUUGACCCCACCCAAGACCACUUCAUAUUAUUUUAUGUCACACUCAAGAGAGCCAGAGGGGCAGCUGUCAUCUCUCAGAUGUGGGACGGGCUCUGCAAGAACCGCGUCUACACUGCCAGAAAGCCUGCCAGCCUGCAGGGCUGAGAGGACCCCAACCCCCUUCGUGCUCACCCCACACACAGGCUCAGAGGCUUCAUUCUGUGAUCAGGAGGGAAGAGAGGAGUGAGGGUGAAAUGCAAUGUCACCUCAUUUUGCUUAAAGAAAGGCAUUGUCCCCAUCAAGUUCUUGAUUCCACAGCAUUGCUAGGGCCACACUGCCAGUUACAAUGCAGGGGAGCUACCUUCCUAGACUCUGGGCCCCAGUGUCAUAGGACGUGCCAUGCUAGCCCACACCUGCGUGUUUUACAGAGGCUGCAUCAAAGGUCAGAAACAUCCUUGCACACCUUCUUCCAGGUUGACUCUUUCUCAUGCUCUGUACAAGACACAGACAUCACCUCCUCCAAGACAGAGCAUCACCUCCUCCAAGAUGUCUCUGCUGAUUGCCCCGUGCUGGGUUAGGUGCCCCCCACCCUGGUUUCUUCUCUCUGGUUUGUUGCAUUUCCUCCAAGAAAUCUGGGUUCUAGGUUAUGUCCUCCGCUCAACCACAGGACCUCAGAGGGAGAGACCAAACCUCAGUCAUCUUCUGCGCUUGGCCCCUGAAUCCUUACCCACAGUUGAGAAAGACACAUCUGUGACCAGCCCCUCCUCCCAGACCAGCUCCCCAUCCAUCUGUGGGGGGAAAUGAGUGUUCAUAGAACAAAUCGCAUACGGCAGUAAGCUAAGCGCUCUCCCUGAGACCUGUGAGGUGCUGGGAGGGAGUGCCCAACAGGGGAAUCUCGGAGGUCAAAGGCCCAUCUGCAUUUUCCGAGCAUCAUUCGAAGCUGCUGGAAGUGGGCAGUGGGUCACCCCAGCCACCACCGGUGUGGGAGGAUCCACAGUGGGCUGGGAAGAUGGCAUUGCCAGUGUCGGCCUGGACAGCAGACAGUCCCGCGGCCCAUUGAGUGACGUUUGAUUUUCAAGGUGGCGAACUACAACUCUCAGCUCAUUUUUCCGGCUGGGACCCCACUCUUCUGUCCCGCCUCGGGGUAACGUGGAGUCCCGGGAGGUGACCCAGGCAAAGCACUCACAUUCUAUAUAGUGUGCUAAACGCCUGCCGUGGACUACCUGGAAACUUAGAGGGAAAGAGGGUCGUUUUUACCAAUCUCCUGAGUACCUCUAAGAAGGAAAUUGGCUGACAGACCCAGGCAGACAUUCUAGAACGCUGUGUUCUUGUAUAAUUUGGUCUUGCUUUCUAGAACACUUAGCCCUGUUGAGAACACACUGUUGCUAGGAUACAACCAAUGAGUAAACACGCCGACUUUCUAUUAUCGGUUCAAAGAAUCCCAGGCUCUGUUUGAAACCGGCUCCGCCAAGGGCACUCGUGAUCUCCUAAUUGCUCUGUCUAAUGGACACUUUCGAGUCUCUCCCUUGCCAGACCUGUUGCCUCCAGAUUCGAGAGUUUCUUCCUUGCACUUCCAGAACACUCCAUGUGCCUCUCCCCUGAGCCUGCCCCUAAAAAAAGGCUGAGCCCCAGGCUCCCCCUCCAGGGCCUGCAUAAGGCCCGUGCACCCAACUUCUUCUGGACGUUUCCCCCGAGAGACCCUCUGUUCCUCCGAAGCCACCUCCCUCACUUUGCCAGAAGACCUCAUUCUCUCGGUUAAUAAACUCACCUGCACCCCUCAGUUAUACAAGGUAGAGAAGUGGGAGCCCACCCCACAUACAUCACCGUCACCUGGCGUAUGAGGACUUGACCUCUUAAUGUGUUUCUCCAAAUCAUCGCUUCCCACCACCCCCACCAUGACUGCCUUGCAUCAGACCCUCAUGUCUCACUCCUGGACGUUGCAAUAGUCACCUGUUCACACUCCCUGCCUCCCAUCGCCCACCUCGCCCAGUCCCCCGGGACUCCACGCGUGCUCCCUCCAGUUCACGUCCCUGUGCCUAGGAUCGUGUGCAUAGAAAGAAUUCCCCUCCCAUGAGGGACGAUUUGGCAUUAUUUCUUAAAAUUAUAAAUGUAUUUAUGUCCUUGGGCUCAGUAAUUCCAUUGCAGGCAAUUCAUUCUACGCACCCAAUCCUCUGUCUGAGGAUAUUAUUCGCAGCAUCGUUUAUAACAGCACAAAAUCAGAAACCACCUCAACGUCCAUCCGUAGGGCAAACGUCGGAUGCAAUUGUUGAAUCCACGGAAUGUUUUAAAGCCAACAAAAGACAAGCCCAGCUCUGAGUGCACUAAGACAGAAUGACUUCCAUGGCAUAAUCAAUAAAAAGCAAGGGUAAAACAGUGUGCUGAGUGUGACCGCUGUGCUAAAGAGGAGAUAGAUACACACCUACUCAUAUUCACGCUCUCUCUGGGAUGAAACUCUAGCGCCCAGGCCAGGGUUGCUUUGGAGAAGGGGGCUCAGGGACGAGG